UACAGAAAUCUCCAUCCUUCGGGGGGAUGAGAGCUGAUCCAUCCCCCGUCUCCGAUCCCUGCCAUAGUUUUGUGUGUUGGUGAACCCUCUCUGCUCAUUCUUUCUCAGAAGUUUUUGGGGUUUUUUUAGUCAGUUUUUAUUUUAUCUUUGCUGCUGUUGAAAUCCGCUGUUUCCCUGGCAUGUAAAUGACGUUUAUUCUCUGUUUUCUGACCGACACACCCUUGCUGGGCUCUCGCUGGUGGCUCCCUCUCCGACCACGCUGGGGUUACAUGUGGGCAGAGGGGACCUGUGGGAGCAGCUGGGCUGGGGGCCAGGCUGGGUGCAGGCACUCGGUGGUGUGCGCAGAUGUGCCCAGAUGUGGGGGAGCCGCUUCACAGAUACCUCAUGUCUACUGGCCACGGGACCAGCAGAAGCUGGGGAAAAAAUCAGGGCCACUGGUAAUAUGGGGGUUCUGGCAUCUCUGGGCUGCAGCCCAGCGCCGGGGGAUGCUGACAUUGGGGAAGAGCAGCAGGAGGACCUGCCUUUGCUCUCCUGCCAGGGGUUGCAAGGACCCAGUGUCCAUGGUGCUUUACCUGCUCCAGGAGCACGGUUUGGGCUGCAGCUGGGGAGUUUUGUGGGGAACCAAGUGCCUUUACCUGACACACACCACUGGUGUUACUCUGCAUCCACCACCGUACGAACACAAAUUUACAACCAGGGGAUGUUGUUGUUGUUGUUGUUGUUGUUGUUGUUGUAGCUUGAGCUUGAGCAGGCCGAGGGGAACCCCAAGAGCUUGCACCAUGCCAGGACUCCUCACGCAAGCUGCCAGGAGCAGCAUGCUCUCCUCUCUGGGAACAGCCAGUCACCCCAGUGAAGUCAUCCUUGGAUGAGGGCUGCAAAAACCACCUUAACUCCUCAAGAGCCAAAAGAGCACAGAAACACAGCUCCAUGACGGUGAGACAGCCCCAGGUCACCCUGGACUUUCGGCAGGUUCUGUCACCGCAGAGAGGUUCCUUUUUGGGAGCUUUCU
rnacentral:lncRNA from 1 species